GAGGGUAUAGCUCGGUGGUAGAGUGCUUGCUUAGCAUGCACAAAGCCCUCGGUUCAAUCCCCGGUACCUCCA
rnacentral:tRNA from 1 species